rnacentral:rRNA from 1 species
CACGUAGGGUGCGAGCGUUGUCCGGAAUUAUUGGGCGUAAAGAGCUCGUAGGCAGUGUGUCGCGUCGGCCGUGAAAACCUGCAGCUUAACUGUGGGCUUGCGGUCGAUACGGGCAUCACUGGAGUUCGGCAGGGGAGACUGGAAUUCCUGGUGUAGCGGUGAAAUGCGCAGAUAUCAGGAGGAACACCGGUGGCGAAGGCGGCUCACUGGACUGGUAUUGACGCUGGAGGCGCGGAAAAGCCUAGGGUAGCAAACGGG